rnacentral:rRNA from 1 species
AUUGAACGCUGGCGGCAGGCUUAACACAUGCAAGUCGAGCGGGGUGAUGGUGCUUGCACUAUCACUUAGCGGCGGACGGGUGAGUAAUGCUUAGGAAUCUGCCUAUUAGUGGGGGACAACAUCCCGAAAGGGAUGCUAAUACCGCAUACGUCCUACGGGAGAAAGCAGGGGAUCACUUGUGACCUUGCGCUAAUAGAUGAGCCUAAGUCGGAUUAGCUAGUUGGUGGGGUAAAGGCCUACCAAGGCGACGAUCUGUAGCGGGUCUGAGAGGAUGAUCCGCCACACUGGGACUGAGACACGGCCCAGAAUCCUACGGGGGGCAGCAGUGGGGAAUAUUGGACAAUGGGGGGAACCCUGAUCCAGCCAUGCCGCGUGUGUGAAGAAGGCCUUAGGGUUGUAAAGCACUUUAAGCGAGGAGGAGGCUCUUUUGGUUAAUACCCAGAAUGAGUGGACGUUACUCGCAGAAUAAGCACCGGCUAACUCUGUGCCAGCAGCCGCCGUAA